UACGUAGGGGGCAAGCGUUGUCCGGAUUUAUUGGGCGUAAAGAGCGUGUAGGCGGCUUGGAAGGUCAGCUGUGAAACUCGAGGCUCAACCUCGAGACGUCGGUUGAAACCACCUGGCUAGAGUCCGGAAGAGGAGAGUGGAAUUCCCGGUGUAGCGGUGAAAUGCGCAGAGUAUCGGGAAGAACACCCGUGGCGAAGGCGGCUCUCUGGGACGGUACUGACGCUGAGACGCGAAAGCGUGGGGAGCGAACAGG
rnacentral:rRNA from 1 species